CAAUAUAAAGCUCUUGAGAUAAAAAUUGGCUAAAUGUGGAACCUGAAGACUUAAACAAUACCUGUUGUCACAGGUACCCUAGGAAUGAUAGCAAAAGGGUCUGAUUCCUACCUAACUCAGAUAGCAGGAAACCC